rnacentral:misc_RNA from 1 species
CGUUUGUAGUACUGAAUGCACCCAUUUUCUACAUGAAGUCACAUGAGAUCUCCAAAAUCAUAUUUCGGAUUCAACUCGUUUAUUUCUAUAUAUUUUUAAUGUGUUUCACAUUUGUUUCUUCUCAACUUAUGUUGCAUAUUUAAAUAAAACACCGUAUUAGACAUUGGAUUUUCUAUUUUCUUGUGAACAAUCGGUGUAUGAUCCUGUAUAUGGCGAUUGGCAGAUUCCUCCAUGUGCUACAACGUUCUAGUUUGAAAAACCAGUACAGCUUUUAUACAACUACUACUAUGACUUCCUUGCUGGUUCCUCCGGUAUCGGUCCGUGGAAUGACAUGUCUGGAUCGUGAUGCAUUUACAACAGUCGUGAAUAUACCAACAUUGUUAUGUGAUAUUGCAGUCACAAAAAACAUGCAUGUUUUGAAGAAAUAUCUGUUAAAGAUUUGUAACUUUAAACCGAUUCAAAAGGAAAGCAAAGAUCAAGUUCUUGUUCACUUAAAUCCAAAUGUUGUUACAAAGCUUGAAGAUAUCACAGAGAAUGAUAGAAAAUUGCUGGCAGAUCAUUAUGAACAUUUUUGUACAACGAGUGUUACAAUCAAGUAUGAUAAUUUUCGUCGUGAUGAGAUAUUAAAAUCUAUUUUACCAGAAGAUAUUCCAGCUCCUACAGCGUACAGUUUAGUAGGACAUAUUAUACAAUUGAAUCUACGUGAUGUACAUUUACCAUAUAAAACUAUUAUUGGUCAAGUAUUUCUAGAUAAAACUGCAAGUGCACGAACAGUAGUAAAUAAAAUUAAUACAAUUGAUACAACGUUUCGAUAUUUUGCUAUGGAAAUCCUGGCUGGUGAAAGAAAUACAAUAACAACUGCGAAAGAACAUGGCUGUACAUAUCAGUUUGACUUUGCACAAGUUUAUUGGAAUUCACGUUUAUCUACCGAACAUACGCAAAUGACAACAUUCAUGAUGCAAGAUGACGUUCUAUAUGACGUGUUUGCAGGAGUGGGACCUUUCGCUAUCCCUGCUGCACGUAAAAAAGUCCAAGUAUUUGCUAAUGAUCUAAACCCUGAGUCUUACAAGUGGCUUCAGAGGAAUGCUGCUAUUAACAAAGUGAAAAAUAAUUUUCAAGCUUUUAAUAUGGAUGGUAGAUAUUUUUUGAGAAAUAUUGUUAAAGAUAAUAUCUUAUCUAGACGUGUUCAAGAUUUACCAGGUACUGAACAUAUAAUAAUGAACUUACCAGCAUCAGCUGUUGAAUUUUUGGAUAUACUGCCUGAUUGGUUUAUGGAAGAAGAGCUAAAAAAAGUUUGCUCUAAGCCGCCUAUAUUCCAUGUAUAUUGUUUUGUAAAAGGAAAUAAAGGAGAUGAUGUUUGCAGACUUGGAAGAAUGUUGGUUGAGCAAAGUCUUGGUUAUAUGCUGUCUGCUGAUUCUAUCGUCAGUAUACAUAAUAUUAGGGAUGUUUCACCGAAUAAAGAAAUGGUCCGAGUAUCAUUUUUCUUGAAAGGAAAUGUGAUGAAAGGCGAGGAGCCAGCAACGAAGAAAAUUAAAACAGAUAUUAAUAAUGUACAGUAAUUUAUUUGUAAAUGAUAAUGUUACAGAAAACAAUGGCAAAGAACAAAGGAACUCACAAAAAUAAAAAUGUUUUCAAAGUGGCAACAGUUCGCAGUAUCAAGCUGAAAGCUAAAGCGCAGAAGGUGGCCAUUAAUCUGAAGAAACUUGACUCAAAAGGAAGUAAGGUAUUAAUCAAGGAUAAAAUAGCCAAUGUGGAUCAUUUACUGGAAGAAUUGCGCAAAGACGUACAAGCGUUCAAUUCCAAAGCAAAACUUAAUAUUACACAAAAAAAAUCAACCAAAUUAAAUAAGAAACCUUCGGCGUGUAAAGUGACGCCAGCACAAACGGAUGCAACGACUUCCAUGGUGGAACAGAUGAAACUUUGACAAGAAGAGAGAAAAUGAUGAGCUUUAUGUAUAUAUUAUUAUAUAUUUUAAUUGUGUAUAAUUCAAAUCUGUUUCAAACUACAUGUACACUGCAAGACUACUUUGUACAAAGUGCAAAAUAAUGAUUCUUUGUUUGUAUUAUUUUGUAUCUGGUACUUGUUACAAUUUUCAUAAUAAUAAAUAUUGCAAAAAUGUA